CAUUCAUAAUUUGGUUAGUAUUUGAAUUGAUUAUUCCGAAAUGUUGUGAAUUUUAUUUUAAUGUUUCUCCGUCAUUUCAUUACAGUCUGUGAAUAUCAUAAUAUAUUUACUAAGAUUUGUUCGGAUGCCUUUCAAUAGAAAAUAGAUGGGGUACAAAUAAAUAGUAUAAUGGACGAUAUGCAAUUCGAACAAAUUAUACGUAGGAGGUAUUGAGUAAUUUGUGAAGCAAACUUCCUGGCUUCAUUAGAUUCGUGAUGAAUUUGAUUUUGGAAUGUAGUGCUAAACUUAUUGAGUAUCGAACGGCAUAGAAAUCAACUCACAGAAUUUGGAAGGGAGCAGUGUAAUGAUUUACAAUGAAUAUUACAAUGUAUAUUUUACUACUGGACUUUUUUAAUAGUGAUAAACGAUAUUAUAUAGUUGUUUCUUUGUUAUAACAGUCUUUGUUAAGCGAAACAUGAAAAUGUAUAUUGUACGAAAUUUAGAUGUUUACCAACAUUUAUAUUUUUACUAUAUGAUUUGUAAAAGUGGUGGUCAAUAUUUUACGAGUUUGUAUCUAGGUGAGUUUAUUUACAAUUUACGAAACAUAUAUAUAAUAUAACUACUGUUGCCAGAUAUAGUAUUACAAUAUCCUAUCAAAACGAAUAUCAUAUGUCGAUUAUUAGUUCUACGUAUACCUGUACUUAUAUACAAAGAUGUUCACUUAUAGUGCCACGUCAGACAAUAUUUGUUGCUACUGCAACAAACAUGAUACACUUGAUUAACCAUGGAAAUUCGAUUUGUCUAUUUUUCAAAUAUCUCAUCCAUGAACUUUAAAAUAUUGCGUAUGAUUGUAUUAUAUUUCGAUCAACUUUUUUCGUUUUGUGAAUUUGUGAUGAAAUAAUCAAACAGUCGGUUGAUGAAAUAAAUAACACUCGCGUGAUUACCUUACCCGUUCGGCUAUAUUUUAGUGAAAUUGUAAAAAUAUUUAAUCAAUAUUUUGAUUUGAUUUAUACGUAUAUUCUAUACAUACGUAUUAAUACUUUCAAUAUAUGCUUUAGAGUGUUAUCUAUAUUCAGUUUAUGUCAGAUUGUUUAAAGUAUAAAUUCUUACUUAAAUACAGUCAUUCUUUGUUAAUGCGUACAAGUCUAUGAAUACAGUUAUAGCUAUAUAGAAGUCUAUUAUUUCCUGUUAGUAAUCAUAUAAUAUUUUUUUAAAAUCGUCUUGAUACUGAGAAAAAGUACUUUUUUUUAAUAACGAAAACAAUUGCUUUACUCACGCCUACCGAAUUAUUUUGCCUGGGCAAUCAGCAUAAGCAAAUACCAUUGACUCUUCCAAAAAAACUUAUUGGUCAGAAUCAAGUAAAAAUAGUACUGAAUUACG